GGGGAAUCAUCGGCAGAGGCAGGUAAUGUGUCCAUUUGAUUAAGUUGCAGGAUUCUGUCCUACUUGCUUACUUGUUAUAGUAAAUAUGUUUUACAGAUCGAGAGCACUUGAAUUUACUUUAUUUAAAAACUUAGUAGCACUCGUUGAUUUCAUAUUUGGUCUUUGAGGCUAGGGAAACCUUUGAUUGGGAAAAUUGUUUAUCCGUG
rnacentral:misc_RNA from 1 species